AAAUCUAUUUGCAAUUGAGUGUGUGUUAAGGAUGUAUUUGAAGGGAAUUUGAUUGAAUAUUUAAAUGUGGCUGAUAAGACAUCAUCUAUAAACCACAUCAGCUCUCUCUGUGGCCCUUGAUUUGCAUGGGUACAGCAUGAGUGCUUAUCUUGUAAUGAUUUUCUACUAUUCUACAUUCUGUCACAGAGAAAGUCAGUGAGAAAUGCAGUGCGUUUAUAUGUGUGUGUGUUUAAUUAAAGGUGAGCACCAACUGAGAAUGGAGUGUGUGAACUGCGUUAUGAAUGUGGCACGCCUUGGGGGCCAGGCCAGACCUGAAAAACCAGCUGCUGCUUUCAGUCCAGAGAGCUGAUAUGGCAUGUCGUGUCUACCUCUCUGCCAAGGGCUGAAACCAUCCCUCGCUUUCAACUUCUUCAGUUUUUAAUCACACCUGAAGUGAACAUUCAGUCAUUUCACCUGUUCAGACUCACUUCAGACAGAGUUUCCAUCUUGUUUUUCUGUCCCAGCUCUGUUAGCGGCAGCGUGUGUGUGAGGAAAGGAGCGUGUGGACUAUGCUCACUUCAGUCGACUGAAGGAGGGGGAGUGGAGGAAUUGAUACUGUGGAGAGACGGAGAACUGAUCGUACAGGACAAAUCUAAAGAUGCAAAGAGCCGGCACAGCAUCCGUGACCCAGUCCACACCCACACAGAACACCACAGUCGUCACCAAGUCUAGAGAACAAAUCCUCACGCAGAGCUCAGGAGCCAUGAUAGCUGUAAUCGUCAUUGGUAUAAUCAUCAUACUCACAUUUUUGCUGAUAGUCCUCAAGACAUACAACAGGAGGACUCAUGCAAACAGGAUGCUGGCUGGAGGCUCCAGCAAACCAAGGAAGAAGGUGUCCUCAACAACCACAAACACAAACCUGGCCAUGAGCAAUGUGGGUGCGAGCUCCAUUUCUGGAAGCUUUGUGCAUUCUAACGCAUCCUCAGUGAAUGGGUACCACAUUCCUCGGGUCGACCUGGCAAACGUGGACCGGAGUAAUGGGGAGCAUUUCAGCACCAACAGCGGCUCAACUAUUGCGACGAUACAUGACAUGCCAUCAGUAGAUAACACAUAGCAGACUGGACUCACACGGGCGAAGAUACUAACAUACCAACAUGAACAAAGAACCAAUGGAAGAGGCCCAAUCAUAUUUAAGCACCUGCCAUUAACUGAACAUUCACUACCUGUGAUUUCUCAUUUUAUGGAACUUUGAUAAAAGUCCACUUAAAAAAAAAACAAAAAAAAAAACACCUGUAUAUGAUAAUGAAGAACCCGAAGAACACUUAAGACAAGUGUCCUACCACUUGACAUGAUUAUGGUUUUAUUUUUAGCACUGGAUUUGGUAAUGAAAUGUAUGUUAAAACAUAUUUUACUGCCUUGAGCUGUAAACUCUUUUUCUUAAAAAUGCAAUUGGUGGGAGCCAGAAUUCAGUUAGAAAUGUUAAGGAUGCCCGUCAAUUUAACUUGUGUAUUACUAUGACAUUUGCACUAUAAUAGUAAAGUCUCUCAUAAAAGAUUGUUCAAACAUAUACUUUGCAUUUAUGCAUUUGACAGAUGCUGAACCUAUAAAGCUUAGCUUGCAUUAAAAAGUAUGUAUUUUGUGUUUAUACAGUCCCUGGGACUCAAACCCAUGACCUUGAUAGUGAUUUAGGCGUCCAGACUCGGGAAAGUGUCGGUAACACACUGUGCAUAAAUAUAAAGUAUCUUCAGUCGUUACCUUUUUGAGCUGGUGUUAAUUACAUCUUUAGAUGGCAUUUCUUGCAUGAAACAACCACAACGCCCAGUUCACUGACAAAUGUUGUCAAAUGAGUCAAUUGAAAAGAUUUAAUUCUGCCUAAACUUGUUUGUGGGUUUGCAGUUUGAAUCAGACUCAAGUCAGUGAAUAUUUCAGAACUAUUACUGACACUGGAGCUGAUUACAUCAAUGAAUCAUAUGAAUCAUUCAUCAGUCAGAUUUAAAAUGAACCAGGAACCACUGCUGGUUUUUAAACAUAGUUUUAUUCUAAUAAAACUAAACUGGGAACUAAACCA
ensembl:lncRNA